rnacentral:rRNA from 1 species
UACGUAGGUGGCGAGCGUUGUCCGGAUUUACUGGGCGUAAAGGGCGUGCAGGCGGUUUGUUAAGUGCAGGGUGAAAGCUCCCGGCUCAACUGGGAGAGGUCCUUGCAUACUGGCGAACUCGAGGGAGGCAGAGGAAAGUGGAAUUCCCGGUGUAGUGGUGAAAUGCGUAGAUAUCGGGAGGAACACCAGUGGCGAAGGCGACUACCUGGCCCGAUACUGACGCUGAGGCACGAAAGCGUGGGGAGCAAACAGG